GAUGAACGCUGGCGGCGUGCCUAAUACAUGCAAGUCGAGCGAAGCGGGGACGGGUGCGUAACACGUGGAUAACCUCCUAUAAGACUGGGAUAACUUCGGGAAACCGGAGCUAAACCGGAUACUCAUGUAUGGAUCCGCGCUGCAUUAGCUAGGUGGUAAGGUAACGGCUUACCAAGGCAACGAUGAAUAGACUACCUGAGAGGGUGAUCGGCCACACUGGAACUGAGACACGGUCCAGACUCGUACGGGAGGCAGCAGUAGGGAAUCUUCCGCAAUGGGCGAAAGCCUGACGGAGCAACGCCGAGUGAGUGAUGAAGGUCUUCGGAUCGUAAAACUCUGUUAUUAGGGAAGCGGUACCUAAGCAGAAAGCCACGGCUAACUACGUGCCAGCAGCCGCGGUAAUUC
rnacentral:rRNA from 1 species